rnacentral:rRNA from 1 species
CUUUUGAUUAUAAUUUAAGGUCUGGCCUGCCCAAUGAGAUUUUAAUGGCCGCGGUAUUUUGACCGUGCAAMGGUAGCAUAGUAAAUAGUUUUUUAAUUGAAAGCUGGUAUGAAAGGUUGAAUGAAAAVAUAACUGUCUCUGUUUAAAUUUAUUAGAAUUUUAUUUUUAAGUUAAAAAGCUUAAAUUAAGUUAGAAGACGAGAAGACCCUAUAGAGUUUUAUUUAGAUUUGUAAUUAAAGAAUUAGUAUUUAGAGACUUUAAAUUUAUAUCUGAAUUUAAUUGGGGUGAUUAAAAAAUUAAAUGAACUUUUUUUAUAUAUUUACAUUAAUAUAUGAGUAUUUGAUCCUUAGAUAAAGAUUAAAAGAUAAAAUUACCUUAGGGAUAACAGCGUAAUUUUUUUAGAGAGACCAUAUUGAAAAAAAAGAUUGCGACCUCGAUGUUGGAUUAAAAUAAAAUUUUGGUGUAGAAGCUAAA